rnacentral:lncRNA from 1 species
GAUUCUGCACUGUAACCCACGUAUUCACAAGGCAACAGUGGAUCUAGAGAAAACCCAAGGGACGUGGAAACCUUUUGGUGCUGGCUUGACAUCCCAAAACACUAUGCAAUUUUGAAAGUAUAAUUUGAUUAUUUUGUUUUAUAUUUGACACUCCAGUGAACUUGUUGCCUGGGGCAAGUGCCCAGGUUUUCUCCCCCCCCCCCCCCAGUCCAGACCUGAGGAACACAGACAGCCAUUUGACUCACAGCUGCUGGACUUCAUUUGUUGUGGAUGCACUGCUAUAUAAGUGCUCUAUCCCUAGACAAUCUGCUACUCAGAAAAACAGGAUGACUGUGAACAGUCAGGCUCCUGAAGUCUCUUGUCCUCCUUGUCUAUGAAUGAAACCAACCAGGAGCACCAACAGGGACUUAAGGGCUGGCCGACUCACAAAGUUUGGACAUAAGAGGCUGCAAUUUGAAAACAACACCAUCCUAACAGCACCUCAACCUCUCUCCAUUGUCCCUUCCAACAAGGGUACCGAGGAAUGCUGACAACUAUGGGAAGCCUGCUGCCAAAGGAGUCAAUUAAGCUGGGAGAACCACUGCAGNGAAAAGCAAGUGUGUCAUAUGCUGUCAGAGUCAUCAUAUUGUCU